CCGCUAGAAACAUGUCGAUUACACACCGGAGGUUGGUAAGAACUGAGGGACAAUGCCCCCCUAACUUAAGUGGGCCUACCGGCGAAGCAACUGGUACUUGAGCGGGCGGGGGGGCGGUUUGGUUUCCCCUCGCAGCAGGAAGAGGCAGUUGUCAUUUGAAAGGAAACGCCCCUUGUAUAGGGUUCCAAACCCGCGCACCGUGAUAAAAAAAACGCCCUAUAUAUUCUAUUAGUAAAGCCUAAACGUCCUUGAAUCUACAACUCUCUUUACUGAGCAUCCACCAGUGGUUAUUUUUUAUUUUCUAUUCUAUCAUUUGUUUGACAGCUUAAACUAGGCUCCAUUUUUGAGAGUUUUCGGUCUUAAUCAAGAUAGGUCAGGGGUGCGUCAGAACGGUCGGUGGCUGCUUAGUCUCAUCCGAGAAUUUCUUUGUACUGCUUUUUUCAAAGAAAAAAAAGAAAGAAGGGGUUCGAUUUAGGCUCCUUCCCUUACACUGCAUAGCUGCGCUAGCAGGUACUACGAGCCCUCUGUCCCGCGCAUCUAACCAGCUCGCGUGGUUCACCGGUUCCACCGAAAACUCUCAUUUGUUGAAGCGGAGCAUAGUGCGCUUUAGGCGCCGAGCGAGAAACGUCUCUUCCGGUUUCGGUUUAUUCACUGAUCUGAAACUUAGCACUUGUUUUAUUAGGGCGGCAGCGCUCUUGAAUGAAGUCUAUCCGAACCGAAUUAGCACUUCUCAGAUCAGGAUCAGGCUAGGCCUCUCCGGCUGAGCUGGGUGCCGGGGCCCUGGAUGCGCUAGCGAUCGGCACAUAGGGGAGUGGUUGCCCGGGUUUCUCGGCCUGGUCUCCUGCACCUCGCAUUCAUGAUAUCUACAUUCAACUGUGCCCCGGAGACACGGUCGAAGCACGCCCGCCCAGUGUGCCUCUUUCACGACAUGCUCUGGUCCCGGGGGUCUUCCAGUGGUCUUCUAGCCUUAGAAGAAGUCGUGUCCGUACCAACGUCCUCCCAUGCAGGACAAACUGAAGGAAAAGACUGACCCAUUCGGUGACUUUCGCGGUCGCCCUCACUGAACCGACUUGAAUCUGAACUACGAUUCAGAUCACGUCUUACCGAAAUCGGAUUUCCUUUUCGUGCCAUAUGCGCUUAGACUUGACUUUACCCCCUUUUCUUCCCGGUCCAAUAUUUGUUCUCGAAAGCCGUGUAGAAUCAAAUUUAUGACCAACCGCAACGAACAGGAGUUUUUCCACGUACGGAGCAAUCAACGAAUUACGGCAUAAUAGAAGAUCUACGUAACCCCCUUCAAAAGAUGAUCUCUUUUCUUCUUCAUUCUCAACAGGAAUGCAUCAAGAAAACUGCCAGAUGCAUGAACUCAGAAUUUCUUCGCCGCCCCCUCGUCGUUGGCCCUUCGUUCGUAGUGCUCAUUGUAUAGUGAGAAAACUCGCCCCACGAGAAAGCCCUCUUUUACAUCCCCUAGACAAAAAUGUAUAGGAAAUGCUACAACCUUCUUUUGACGACCGGUACAACAAGCUAAAGUGACCUCUACGCGCGACCUGAAAGUUUGUGUUAAGCAUAUAGUUCCUUUUUGUCUUGCGGUGUCCUAUCGCUUAGCGACAGAGCCAUCUUCUUUUGGGGCAGUGAGGAGGACAGGAAAAUCCCCUACUCCCCCGCUUUCUUUUUUACAACCUCAAACAAAAGAAGCAAAGAAGGGAAAUCUUCGUAAAGGAAGCAAGGGGUGUCGACUUCGAAUUGAGUAGUUAGUCUUCUUUCUACGAGUAGUUAGUCUUCUUUCUACUCUUUUGUAAUCGAAACUAGAAUCGAAAGAGCCUCACCCUUUUUUUUAUGUAUGUGAAUUUUCCGAAUCUAGUUCUAAAUACUGGACUGAUCUUUCUCCGCGGUUCGUUCUAUUUUGAUAGAUAGAGAUAGACAGGAGCUAAGUAAACAGAAUACAAAAGGCUUACUCCCAUUUCUCUCGACUCAGGAAUUCUUUCAUAGAAUCCUUUUUGAUUGCACUACUUUUUGAAAACAACCGUACGGGAGGCGGAGGCCAAAGGAGACCCUUUUACCGGUUGGGUGUGUCCUUCCGGAGAAGACAUACCCUUAGGAAGCUUACCGCGCUUUACUCCCGGAAGACAACCCCAGUACAGUAAAUCGUGCAUAAUUGAAUACGAAAUCUUUUCGCGCUUUCUUUGUGUCGUACUUCUUGGUCUUUGCCGGAAUUCCGGGCCCCGGGG
rnacentral:lncRNA from 1 species